GAUGAACGCUGGCGGCGUGCUUAACACAUGCAAGUCGAACGGGAAACCUUUUAUUGAAGCUUCGGCAGAUUUUGCUGGUUUCUAGUGGCGGACGGGUGAGUAACGCGUGGGUAACCUGCCCUAUACAGGGGGAUAACAACCAGAAAUGGUUGCUAAUACCGCAUAAGCGCACAGGGCCGCAUGGUCCGGUGUGAAAAACUCCGGUGGUAUAGGAUGGACUCGCGUUGGAUUAGCCAGUUGGCAGGGUAACGGCCUACCAAAGCGACGAUCCAUAGCCGGCCUGAGAGAGUGAACGGCCACAUUGGGACUGAGACACGGCCCAGACUCCUACGGGAGGCAGCAGUGGGGAAUAUUGCACAAUGGGGGAAACCAUGAUGCAGCGACGCCGCGUGAAGGAAGAAGUAUCUCAGUAUGUAAACUUCUAUCAGCAGGGAAGAUAGUGACGGUACCUGACGAAGAAGCCCCGGCUAACUACGUG
rnacentral:rRNA from 1 species